UCUGGUUUUACUUCCUACCUUUGUUUGUUUUCCCACCUUUGUUGAUUGUCUGCCCCGCCCUGAUUUGUUCCACCUGUGUUUAAUCACCGUCUUGUAUUUAAGCCUGUGUGUUCCUCUCUGUCUGAGGUCAGUUCGUUUGUCGCUCCAGCCUUGUCUACCUUGUCCCCCGUUUUGCUCGUCACUCCUGCCUUAUUCCUCGUGUUCCUCGUGUCCUCUGGUUUCUGAAGAGCCGUUGUGAAGCUCCGGCCGUCGCCAUCUUGGCAGCGACGACACAGCCUAACUCCCGGCUAAUCCAACAAAGAGGGCAAAGAGGUGGAUCGUCGGUGGAGCUGAGGCGGGCCCGGUUGACGCAGCGGAGGAGACAGCUCGCGGCUAGAAGCCUGGUCGCAGCGAAGAGAGCCGGUCUUCACUUCUGUUCGUGGACCUAAAACGGACCCCCUUUGGACAAAGUUGAUCCAGUGCUGUGCUUGAGGAACCUGCAUUAAAGCAGGAACAUCGUCUCUCCUCUUCUCGGAUACCAGGACGGCAACGAGAAGAAGCCGAGCCAAAGAGGCAACGCCGCUCUUUGGUUGAUUUGCUCACAAGAAAUGUGGCAGGAGGGAUCACAAAAUGUCAUCACUUCGCUUUAAACCGCUGACCUAGCGCUUUUUUCUGAAAGCUUUUGUGAAGUUAAACUGUGAGAGGAGAAAGACAAGGGUGCGGACAUGACGGGGUCGAAUAGUGCUGAAGAAUGAAUGAAUGAACAAAUAUGUUA